UGCAACUAGCACACAUGCAGAGAUAAUUAUGCAUAUCAUAUUUUGUCAUUUCAUUUCAUAGGAAAUAAAGUAUCAUAGGCAAGCAUAACUUAAACGAAAUCUGCACUAGUCCGGAAUGUGUUGGUGCCGUGACACAAAAUGACACAUACUGUAAGGUAACAGGAGUCAAUAUGUGGUGCGUAUUUCGGCGUUUGGAGUUUGGUACUAUCAUUGCCUGUUGACAGAGUAAUCAAUUUGGAGCGACAGAAUUGCUUUUAUAUUUGUCACUUAAGAAAAGAUUUCGUAAAUAUUUAAACAAUGGAGUCUCGCCCAUGUGCAGUAAUAGCCAGCUGCACUAGCACACACCCAGAAGAUAUAAUAAAAUCAAUUCUGGGUGUAGAGGAUCUUCCAGACUAUACAGAGGUGGAAGAUGGGAUAAAGGCAUAUCCCUGGCAUAUAGAUACAAAGUACUACACAGCAGAUGUAAACCUGUGUGCUGUUGAGAAGAAAACCUUGGGCAGUGAAGAUUUUGCUGUUUCUGUUGAAGCAAUAGUUGUUCACUUUGACAGCAACAGGAGUGAUGGUCUUUCUGCUGUUGAAGGUUGGUUGUCAUUCCUUAAGGAGUUUGAGCCUGAAGUUCAAAUAUUGCUAUGUGAUCGAUGUGAGGAGGAACCCCCUGAAGGACUGGCCAGAGUCACAGUGCAAGAAUGGUGUGUUGAACAAGGCUUUGAAUUGGUGGAACUCAAUCCAGAUCUUGACCCGGAGUGGGAAGCAGAACAAGAUUUCCUGGAGACUACUGGUGUGAAACGUGUUAUCCAAGCUCUACAUGCUCACCUUUGGCCAAAUUUGCACAUGAAAGGUAAGCCCCAGCAGCUAUCUCGAACAGUCCAAUCAAUGUUAGUGGGUAAUGCUCCCACAACACCCACAAAUGGCAACAGUGAUGAGGAUGCAGACCAGGGGUCUACUCUUGAUAACAGUUCUUUCUUUGCAGCUACAUGUACAGAGGAACGAAUAGAUGAGUUACUUGGUGAUAGUGGUGGUGUAGCAGGUUUCUCUUCUUUAUUUGAACAACUGUGUACAAUGAAGGAGCGAGUGUCUAAACUUCCAAGUGACCAAAGAAGAGCUUGUGCUGAACAGGUGUGUUUAUUGGAAAUAAAUGUUUGUUUCAUCAUAUUGUGUUUUCUCUUUUGUGUAUCCACAAUGCAUUAAAACUUGAUGCCAGUCUGAGAUUCAAAUUUGGCAUUCACUUGAAUCUGUCAUUACCAUUUUGUUGUGUACUCCUUUUCCAAUGGGUGCAAGAACUCGAGCAUUGUAGCAAAGCGUUUAGGCACUUUGAAGUGGUAAAGGAGCUGACUGUGGCUCAUUGAAGCCUUGUUUGCAAGAUGUGCAGUUAUCUACUUUACACAAUAUUAUUACUGCUUGCUUCUGCUGAAUAAACACUUAAUUUACUUUAGGUGCACCAUCAGAGUAAAUAAUUCCAAAAUACUACAGGAAGUGAAUAUCUGUAAAUGACGCCAAUAUUCUUGUCUUUAGGUCAACGCUAGGAGAGAUGCUUCUAUCCCAAAAUUGAACUUUUAAUUAUUUUAUCUGUGUUUGAUCCAUUUGUGUUAUUCAGCUGGACAAGGAAUUUGGCAGAGUGUGUUCCAGUUAGUGUGUGGCCAUUAUCUCUGGUUUAAAAUGGCAUAAUAUGAGUCAUUUUGAGACUCUAGUUUACUAGAUAUAAUUUUAUCCAAACAAACACAGGCUUUCGUAAGAUUAUAGAAUGUGUUGACAGAAUAGUUUUUCUAUUUCAGUUCUGCUUGCACUUUUGGGAGGUUUGUACUUGUGAAGAAUCCUUUACGAAGGGCAAGCCAAGAGGCAAUUAACAAGUUCUGGUCAAUUAAAUAUGUCAAUAUUCUGUCAUAGGCUGAUUUAUCAAGCACCUUUGAGAAGCUUGGAAGCAGUGACAUAGAUCUGUAAUUAGAGGUAGUUUGCGUAUCUCUACUUUUGUUGGUGAGUGUUAUAAAAACUUACUGAAGUCUGUCUGAAAAUAUGCCUUGAGUCAUUGAUUGAUUACAAAGAUAGUUUAAGGGUAAUCCUAUCAAGUCAGCUCAAGAUUAUAAUAUUCUGCUAGAAAAACAGUCAGAGCUAGCAGAAUCGCUAUGUUUCAGUGACCUAAUACAUCCUGUAAUAUCCUUAGGGGCUGCAUUUUUAAAAUUAAUAUCUGUUAGUGGUGCAUACAGUGUCUUUAUGAGUAAAUAUAAUGUAUCUGUGUUUGGUUGUCGCUUGGUGGGUGCAAAGUUACUUCCCAAUGUGAGGAAGUAAUCAUAGGAUUUGAAGGCCAGUGAUUUGUAAAUGUCACCAUUUCUGCCACAGAUAUUUUCUGGAAUCAAUAUUAUUAUGAAACGUUACUCAUAUGGUUAGUGUUGGAUCAGUUUUUGGGUUUAAAUAUUUCUCACCAGUUUCCAGAAUAAUGUACUGUUUUCCAAUUUUAGUUCCAUUUGUUAUUGUUCUUUCAGUGAAGAAUAGGCCCCUCAACAUAUAUAUUAUAUCUGGUGUCCAGCAUUUGUAAUUUAUGGAAUUAUAAAAAUUACUUUAUUAUUUUACAGGUUGUAAUGGCAUUUUGGAAAGCAAUAGGUGGAGAUGAUGAUGAGUUAUCAGGUCUUGGUUCAAACUGAAAUAAAUGAGAAGGGACAAGAGUUGAUGUUUCAUCCAAGGAUGUGAUUACUGCAAAUCAUUCUCCGAAUGAAGAACCACGUUUGAUAUGAAAUCGUGAUGUUCCAAAUUUCUUCAGAGAGGAUAUCUUGUGAUUCUUAGCUUUCUCCGAGUAUUAUAUUUAUACCACUUUUGUCAUAUCAGUACUGAUGUGAGGAAGCAGAAAAGUUUUCUAGUCGAUUACAUCUGUAUUAUGAUGUUGAUAGGGCAGUAUAUUAUUGGGAGCAAUAUAAAUCUUUUCUAGGAACUAUACUUUAGUCAUAUGUAAAGGAACUGUGUGAAAACAUUAACACCUGUGUACCAAUCUCCUAUGCCGAAGAGCUAUUGGUGUCUUUGAAUGAAACUUAAUUAAAAUAAAUAUUUGGUAGUUGUUUUCCCAUGUGCUAUCAUCACUGCCUGAGAAACUGAAUAUUUUUCCCAAGCAGUUUUGGACUUGAUAACUUCAUUGAUAUUUGUUUUGUGAUCCAGAGAUAUACCCUCUUGUUUCUUGUACAUAAAAAAGGAUAUUUUUUGUUUUAAUUCAAUACUGAAUUGUAAUGCUCUAGAAUAUCAUAUUCCUAAUGAAAGUAGGAAAUGGAAACUCUUCUCUUUAAUUUGGUAACAUAGAGACCAGUGUAUACAGUAAAUAUCUGGUUUCACAUAGUGUAUUAUUGCUUUUCAUUUUUAAUGCAUUUUUAGAAAAUUUAGCAAACUUAAACAUGAUAUGCAUGUAGUGUAAAAAGAGACAAUUUAUCUUUUGUACCACGUUAUGGGAGGUACAACCUUGUUACUCUGCUGCAGUGAAUUCUGAUGUGUAAUAAAACUGGAAGUGCAUGUGAUCAGCAUGUAAAUAGUUUAUCCUUGAGAAGACAGUUUUGCUUGGAGUAUAUAAUAGCAUGAGCAUUGGGAAGUUAUAUCUGUGCAAUAUUAAUCUGCUGUAGUGUAUGUGACAAGCGUAUCAUGUUGCUGUAUGUUAUAGUCUUAGUUUCAAAGCUAAUUUCAUGAUUCAGAACUUAUCUUGCUCUGUUGUCUCAUUUCAAUUGAAACGCUAUUUUUUGUGAAGGAUACUGUAUGUCUGUCUGGUCAUUGCCAGUCACAUUUUGUAAAAUCAUUGAUUCUAUAAUAUAUCAAUUGGAAAAUGAUCUGUAGAAGUUAUUGUUUGUGUAUAAUGAAAAUAUAAAAUUAAAAACAAAUAUUAUUGAUUAUGAUAUGGACAGAUUCUUAUAGUUAGUCUGUACUUUUGCUAUCCUAGACAUCACUGUAAGAUAUAGCACUUAGUAUGCUGUUACAGUUUUGCCAAAAUGCUAGUGUUAAUGAAUGCCAUUAUGGUCAUCGUAGACAGCUUCUCACAUCUUCGAUUGUGCCAGAAUAAAAGAAGUUUUGUACAUUAGAGCAUCAUGAUACUGUGUUAUUUUGUAUUACCGUUGUUACGUUGUUCUUGCUUUAUGAUGGAAUUUACCUUAGUGUAUGCUGUUUUCAGUGCACUUGGACUUUAUGUAACAUAUUCAUUGGUGCCUCAAGUAGUUUAGGGUACAGCAAUCA